rnacentral:rRNA from 1 species
CAGCCGCCACGGUAAUACGUAGGGUGCGAGCGUUAAUCGGAAUUACUGGGCGUAAAGCGUGCGCAGGCGGUUUGUUAAGACAGAUGUGAAAUCCCCGGGCUUAACCUGGGAACUGCAUUUGUGACUGGCCGGCUAGAGUAUGGCAGAGGGAGGUGGAAUUCCACGUGUAGCAGUGAAAUGCGUAGAUAUGUGGAGGAACACCGAUGGCGAAGGCAGCCUCCUGGGCCAAUACUGACGCUCAUGCACGAAAGCGUGGGGAGCAAACAGGAUUAGAUACCCGAGUAGUCCCUGUCUCUUAUAC